GUGAGGAAUAUUGCGCAAUGGAGGCAACUCUGACGCAGCCAUGCCGCGUGCAGGAAGAAGGCGCUACGCGUUGUAAACUGCUUUUAACCGGGAAGAAACCCCAGGACGUGUCCUGGGUUGACGGUACCGGAGGAAUAAGCACCGGCUAACUUCGUGCCAGCAGCCGCGGUAAUACGAAGGGUGCAAGCGUUAUCCGGACUCAUUGGGUUUAAAGGGUGCGUAGGCGGAGCGUUAAGUCAGUGGUGAAAUCCUGCAGCUUAACUGUAGACUUGCCAUUGAUACUGGCGCUCUUGAGUGCGCUUGAAGUGGGCGGAAUGUGCCGUGUAGCGGUGAAAUGCUUAGAUAUGGCACAGAACACCAAUUGCGAAGGCAGCUCACUAAGGCGAUACUGACGCUGAGGCACGAAAGCGUGGGGAUCGAACAGGAUUAGAAACCCCGGUAGUCC
rnacentral:rRNA from 1 species